AAGCAGCCCGUACCGUAAACCGACACAGGUAGUUGGGAUGAGAAUUCUAAGGUGCUCGAGAGAUUCAUGGCUAAGGAACUAGGCAAAAUAGACCUGUAACUUCGGGAGAAAGGUCGCCCUCAGUAAUGAGGGCCGCAGUGAAAAGGUCCAGGCGACUGUUUAUCAAAAACACAGGGCUUUGCUAAAUUGAAAGAUGAUGUAUAAGGCCUGACACCUGCCCGGUGCUGGAAGGUUAAGAGGAAGGGUUAGCGCAAGCGAAGCUCUGAAUUUAAGCCCCAGUAAACGGCGGUGGUAACUAUAACCAUCCUAAGGUAGCGAAAUUCCUUGUCGGGUAAGUUCCGACCUGCACGAAUGGCGUAACGACUUCCCAGCUGUCUCAACCGCGAACUCGGCGAAAUUGCACUACGAGUAAAGAUGCUCGUUACGCGCAGCAGGACGGAAAGACCCCGUGACCUUUACUACAGCUUGGUAUUGGUGUUCGGUGUGGCUUGUGUAGGAUAGGUGGGAGACUGUGAAGCGGGCACGCUAGUGUUCGUGGAGUCGUUGUUGAAAUACCACUCUGGUCACUCUGGAUAUCUAACUUCGAACCGUAAUCCGGUUCAGGGACAGUGCCUGGUGGGUAGUUUAACUGGGGCGGUUGCCUCCCAAAAAGUAACGGAGGCGCCCAAAGGUUCCCUCAACCUGGUUGGCAAUCAGGUGUCGAGUGUAAGUGCACAAGGGAGCUUGACUGUGAGACUGACAGGUCGAGCAGGGACGAAAGUCGGGACUAGUGAUCCGGCAGUGGCUUGUGGAAGCGCUGUCGCUCAACGGAUAAAAGGUACCUCGGGGAUAACAGGCUGAUCUUGCCCAAGAGUCCAUAUCGACGGCAUGGUUUGGC
rnacentral:rRNA from 1 species